rnacentral:lncRNA from 1 species
CCAGAAUGCUCCGCGACGGGGGCCGCGAGGUCCAGCCAAUCAGAGGGUCAUAAUGAGGUCGUUUCCGCCUGAGGAAAAAUCUGGGGGCGGGGCUUCCGGCCUUCUUUUCGCUCGCGGCUGUUCUGACUCGUCUGGGUCUCCCUGACUCCGAAACGCUGGCUCUGGGCCGAGCGACUGUCCUGUUAGGUCCGGGAAGAGUCGUUUUCCGCGUGGCGCAGAGGCGGGCCUGAGGUUCGCCACUCGGCACGGGCUUCCCCGCGCCCGGCCUGGGAUGGAGACCGUGGCGCCCGCGACCCCCUCUUCUCCCGCAGCUCCGCCCGCAGAGCUCGAUGGCGGCGGCCGCGCGGAGGACCCGCCUCAGAUCCACUUGCGCUGGUCUCCAGAUCUGGCCUACUUGUGAAGUGUGUUCCGUUCCUUAAACAGUCUUUGACCAGCAGCGGCUCCGUGGCAGUUUUUUCCAGGGCCUGGACACAGCUUUCUACUUAG